rnacentral:rRNA from 1 species
AUACGGAGGGUGCAAGCGUUACUCGGAAUCACUGGGCGUAAAGGACGCGUAGGCGGGUUGGUAAGUCAGGUGUGAAAUCCUACAGCUUAACUGUAGAACUGCACUUGAAACUACCAACCUAGAGUAUGGGAGGGGGAGAUGGAAUUAGUGGUGUAGGGGUAAAAUCCGUAGAUAUCACUAGGAAUACCGAAAGCGAAGGCGAUCUCCUGGAACAUAACUGACGCUAAGGCGUGAAAGCGUGGGGAGCAAACAGGAUUAGAUACCCGAGUAGUCC